CAACAUUAGUCAGGAUUAGAAUUUUGACAACAGAGUUCUAAAAAAUAAAUAGUUGCACAGCAGAAUGCUAUAAGCCCGUUUUACAUCUCAUUAAUGGUUUUCUAUGUUGAAAAAUGGUGAAUGCAGGGCCUAACGUCCAAAUUUCAGGGGUUAAGGUACCCCAACUCAGCAGAAUACGAGACCCAUAUUGCACAAUUGAAGAUGGUAUGGAGCCUUUUACUGGCUCAAAUCAACUAGAAAAAUAUGUCGGAUAAUGAUAAGAGAGGCUCUGUCGAACCUGACAAAUGAUCCAUACAUGAUGACGCAUCAAGAUGUAGCUUUUGAAUCGUACCAACUUGGAUGCAAUACUCCCAUAGCAAAUACUGAUGAAUACAUGAAUUUUGUUCUUAAAGAAUGCAUGCAUCUCUAAGAUAAGGAAUUUAGCUCUAUACACGAUGACGCACCAAGAUGGGUAUUAAAGAGGGCUACAACUUAUUUGGAACAUGAUAUGGUGAGCCUCAGUUCCGUACAUAUUACUAUUAAUUUAAUCGAGGAUGGAUGUUUGUAUAGAUGGGACCUAAACUAAAAAAAUGCCUAUUUUCAGUGUAUCCGGAUGCUCGACUCGCUAGGCCCAGGAAUGCACCGCAAAGACCUCACCGCUAUGGUUAGUUAUUAGUCCGACUGCACCAUCGUUUGAUAAGACGAUUUCUGUUAUUCUUCGCUUGUGAUGCUAAUACUUUGUCAUUUAUUCACGCAACAGCUGGAAGGCAAGGGCA